AUGUUUCAUAUUGCGUCAGAUAACAAUAUUGACGAAUACGCUGAUUCGGUGUGCGAGUUCAUUAGAACGUGCGUUGAAGAUGUCGUUCCCAUAGCAACGAUUAAAACAUUCCCUAACCAGAAACCGUGGAUUGAUGGCAGCAUUCGCGUGAAACUGAAAGCGCGAACCACUGCUUUUAAUCAGGGCAAGGUGUCUGGUAACAUGACCGAAUACAAACAGUGCAGCUAUUCCCUCCGCAAGGCUAUCAAACAAGCUAAGCGUCAGUACAGAGACAAAGUAGAAUCUCAAUUCAACGGCUCAGACACAAGAGGCAUGUGGCAGGGUCUACAGUCAAUCACGGACUACAAGAAGAAAUCCAGCCCAGUCACGGACCAGGAUGUCUUGCUCCCAGGCAGACUAAAUAACUUUUUUGCCCGCUUUGAGGACAAUACAGUGCCACUGACACGGCAUGCAACGAAAACAUGCGGUCUCUCCUUCACUGCAGCCGAGGUGAGUAAGACAUUUAAACGUGUUAACCCUCGCAAGGCUGCAGGCCCAGACGGCAUCCCCAGCCGCGCCCUCAGAACAUGCGCAGACCAGCUAGCCGGUGUGUUUACGGACAUAUUCAAUCAAUCCCUAGACCAGUCUGCUGUUCCCACAUGCUUCAAGAGGGCCACCAUUGUUCCUGUUCCCAAGAAAGCUAAGGUAACCGAGCUAAACGACUACCGCCCCGUAGCACUCACUUCCGUCAUCAUGAAGUGCUUUGAGAGACUAGUCAAGGACCAUAUCACCUCCACCCUACCUGACACCCUAGACCCACUCCAAUUUGCUUACCGCCCAAAGGUCCACAGACGAUGCAAUCUCAACCACACUGCACACUGCCCUAACCCAUCUGGACAAGAGGAAUACCUAUGUGAGAAUGCUGUUCAUCGACUACAGCUCGGCAUUACCAUAGUACCCUCCAAGCUCGUCAUCAAGCUCGAGACCCUGGGUCUCGACCCCGCCCUGUGCAACUGGGUACUGGACUUCCUGACUGGCCGCCCCCAGGUGGUGAGGGUAGGCAACAACAUCUCCUCCCCGCUGAUCCUCAACACUGGGGCCCCACAAGGGUGCGUUCUGUGCCCUCUCCUGUACUCCCUGUUCACCCACGACUGCGUGGCCACGCACGCCUCCAACUCAAUCAUCAAGUUUGCGGACGACACAACAGUGGUAGGCUUGAUUACCAACAACGACGAGACGGCCUACAGGGAGGAGGUGGGGCCCUCGGAGUGUGGUGUCAGGAAAAUAACCUCACACUCAACGUCAACAAAACUAAGGAGAUGA
rnacentral:lncRNA from 13 species